AUCUUACACGGACUUUUUCAUUGACCUACUUUUUAAGGGAUGUGGAAGAGUGGAAACUGGAAGUUGUUGAUUCUGCCUUGUGGAUGAAAUACUGAAAAUCCCCAACAUCACAGCCAGAGAGAUGCCGUGAAAAUGACGGCCAUGUCAUGCUACUCCUCUGCUCACUAUUUAAGGGAUCCUCAGCUCACUCCGUGCAUGCUCAGCACUUGCAGGAAGACCACCCUGCAGAAAAACCCGAAGCUCUGCAGGGUCCAGUCUACGUAAUACAAUCUUUGUAUCUGUAUUG